rnacentral:lncRNA from 1 species
CUACUUUGCUUACUUCUGAUGAUCCUUUUCUGGGGCAUAUAUGCUCUGCAGAAAUAUAAAGCAAGAUCUUUUAUGUAACUACUUCCAUGAUCGAUUCCUCAGAGAAUGUCUGUACAUUGUUUUGAGCCAAUAUGACUGACAAUAUUCUAGCUAACUUCAGUGCUACAAAAAACAGAAUUCUAUGAAGAGUAAAGUGUAAUUUGUGUUGAGCUGACCAGUCUGUUUAACUCUAUGCUCAAGUAUAUUUUUACCUUUCAGCCAAAGCCAGCACAUACAAUGCAUGUCAUAUGAUAGAGGCAUUCAGUACUUUUUAAGUUCAAUUUCAACUCGUACCUACUCAUAGAUCAUCAAUCUCUGUAAAAUAUUUAAAUAUUUUACUGAUUUUUAUUAUUUUAGUAUUUAAUAUGAAGAUAAGCAAUGACAUUCAUAUAGGCUUUCAGAUGUUUUUUACAAUUACACAAUUAUCUUCUUUUUUUUUUUUACGCUUCUUGAGAAUACAACAGGAUUUGGGACAAAUUCUACAAACAGCUUUGUCUUGCUCCCAUGUCAGCAUUUCUCUGAGUUGUUUAUAACCCUGAAGCCUGGGCUGUGUGUCCUGUCUCCUACCAUGCCAUCCAUGCUUGUACUUCUGCUUCUACAGUCACAGUGUACAAGUAUAAGUAAAAAUAAAACAGAAUAUAGCACCACUCACUAGAAAAGCAGAUGUUAUAUAAAAAAAAAAAAAUAAAAAAAAAAGUCCAGGCAAGCUGAUGCAAGUGACAUGAAGUAAACCUUGCAAACACUAAUCCUGAGGCUCUGAGAGUAAGUACACAACUACAGUCUGUUACUACCAAUGACGUUCCUGUGCAUACUGGGCUACUGGGGUAAAAAGUCCUAUGCAAACAUAAAUUACAAACCAUACCUGAUAGUAUUCAAGGUAAAAUCAAUUUCAAAGUUAACAAAGGAGACAGAAAACCUGGAAACACUGAACAACAGUGCUCAUGGACCAACCCUGGAGACCCUCAUGGAGAGAGUCGAACUACUGGCAAUUGGGAAUAUGAUGAUUUACUGUGAUGCCCUGCUGUACUUUUAUAACUAUUGUAUUCCGAUUCAUAUUGUAAUGGCACUGAGUAUAAAUUCUAGACAUCUCACAUAAAGUAUGUUCUUUUCAUGCAUUUAAUGAUGUUUUGAGUGCAACACUCAUUUUUUCAAACAAGAAAAAGAAAAUAUUGAUCAUUUAUUUGACUGGAUUUUUUCAGUGAUUAUUCUAUCAUUUUUAGUGCUUACUACAUCAAAAACCUUUUGCAGCAUCUUUCUAAGUCUGCAAUAAUAAGUAAGAUUUAAUCAUAAUCUACUACUUCCAAGUAAGAAUUAGUAUUCAUCAGCUGUUGGGACCUAGUUUUUGACACUUUGAAUUCAACCAUCUAGAGAACACAACCAAUCUCUGAAUUCAGCUCUGUAUUUGUGCUCUGUCUUAUUAUAAACUAAGUUGAAUUAUAUAUUUUAUAUGUAUCCUACUGUACAGUGUGGAAGUCAGAAAUGAUGCCUUCUUAAGGAAUUAUUUUCAGUUGAUUUUGUCAUGUUUGCCUUCAUAAGAAGAAAUAUAAUCAGCAAAUUAAUUGAGAGAUGUCCAAAAUAAAAUAUUUUUAAAUUUGUGCAUUGUCUGAUUACACCUUGAAAGUCUAAAGCAAGGAAGAUCAAAUACAAACACCAGAGGCCACAGAAUAACACUAGUAAGAGACAAUUACUACAUCAAGAGACAGCAUUGAUUAUUACAUUUGCCUUCACUUUUAUAAAUUAGUCUCCUUCAUUUUAUAUAUAUUUAUCUUACGUACAAAAAAGUGAAAUGGAAAAUUAAGAUUGAAUACAACUGUCUGUGGAGAAGGUUGGGCAGAGAGGUUGUAAACUUUUCCUCCAUGGAAGAUUUCUAGGCCAGGCCUGGGCUGUUUGAUCUGAUCCUGUGGCUGGUCCUGUCCUGCGAAUGAGGAUGUGCUGGAUAUCUCCAGAGGUCCUUUCCAGUCCCAGCAGGAAACAUACUGGAGCAAGGCAGGCUACUGGGCAAGAAGGGAAAACAGAUUUCAGUCUCUCUGUCAUCAUGUGGGCAGAUGCUUAUUGUGUGGUGGUUCUCUUUAGCCUAUACAUGAUAUAUCAGUUCAGUCUGUAACCUCCUUGAAACAUGGAAUGUGCCUGUUGCCAUUGCACAUCUCCUAGUUUGAUGGGACUAAGAAGCAGGGACUAUUACAAACCAAAUGAAUACAAUACAUUGUUAAGCAGAUAUUAAAUGACUAUUUGGGGAAUAAAUGUUUUUGCAUUGUGAUUCAUAGCAAAUUCUGCCUGUACAAAGUUGUGGUUAUUCCCUCCCAGUUGUAGGACUGUACAUUUGAUCUCGUUGAACCUCAUAAUGUUCCUCUCUACCCAACACUCACCUUGUCCAGGUCCCACUGAAUGGUAUCACAGCCUUCUGGCAUGUUGGACGUUCUUCCCAACUUUGCAUCAUCAGCAAAUUUGCUGAGGGUGCACUCUAUCUUUUCAUCCAGGUCAUUGAUGAAUAUUGUUGAUGUUGUAAUUCAUAAACAAUAUUAUACAUGUGACACAUACAAACUUCCCUCUUUUAGUUUGGAAACGGUUUGACUCUCGUUCAUGGACUGGUAUACUGGCUUUGUAUUCCUGCAGUGCCUGAUUGUUAUCAAAAGAUUUAGAUUGCUUUAUCUCUUAUUUCCACCUAUAUAAACCUUUAUGCUUCUUUUCUUUUUGUCUGCUGGCUGUUACACAGUGCUCAAUGAUGGUACUCUGGUAGGUUAUUUGAUGUAUAGCAGGUGGUUUGGUUUCCAGGUUGUACUUUUGAGUCUGCUUUUCAAUAGUUAUUCACCAUUAAAUGCAACUGAAUAAGA